rnacentral:pre_miRNA from 1 species
UACAUAUAUGCAUGCAUGUAUACACAUAUACAUACAUACAUGCAUGUAUAUAUGUAUGUGUUUGUGUAUAUAUGUAAGCAUGCAUGUAUUAAUGUGC